GGAUGAUGAGCAUGACUGGAUCGCCUUAAGGGAUGUGGAAGGGAAGGUGUUUGAGUAGGAUCAGGAGAGGGAUCAAGUUCUGGUGGAUUAGGCGGAGAAGGAAUAAAGUCAUGAGAGAAGGAUUUAUGAAUAGAGGGAGUGAGUAAGACAGUAGGAUCACUAGAAUUAGUAGAUGGAAGACGAAGGAAUGGAAAGUGAUCCUCAUAAAAUUGUACAUUGCGUGAAAUGACCAUGUUAUGAUUAUGAAGAUCAUAUACAAUGUACCCUUUUGUAUUAGGUGGAAUACCAAGGAAAACACAAGGAUGGGCUCGUGGAUCUAAUUUCUUAUGAUGGG
rnacentral:lncRNA from 1 species